AAGACUAUACUUUCAGGGAUCACUUCUAUAGUUCGUUACUAGAGAAGUUUCUCUGACUGUGUAGAGCACCCAAAACCAGGAUGAGACAUAGUGUCCCCUCCUGAGUGUGAAGCCGGCUCUAGGUGCUGCUUGAGUGCAGCUGCCUCUUGUCGUUGAUGAUUGUUCUUCUGUCCUUCAGGAGGGUGAGAGGGAGGGAAUGCAGUCUGAGUGGAU
ensembl:snoRNA small nucleolar RNA U3